rnacentral:lncRNA from 1 species
GUCUGAAAAAAAAAAAAAAAAGCACAGGAAACAAUGACAAACUUAAUCUUUCUUCUUUUAGGAGGAGUAAAGCUUGGGCUGGGAGAUUUCAUUUUCUACAGUGUUCUGGUUGGUAAGGCCUCAGCGACCGCCAGUGGGGACUGGAACACAACCAUAGCCUGCUUUGUAGCCAUAUUGAUCGGCCUGUGCCUUACGUUACUCCUGCUCGCCAUUUUCAAGAAAGCGUUGCCGGCCCUUCCCAUCUCCAUCACCUUCGGGCUCAUUUUCUACUUUGCCACGGAUUAUCUCGUGCAGCCCUUCAUGGACCAACUUGCAUUCCAUCAAUUUUAUAUCUAGCAUUUCCACACUCAGACCAUGGAUGAUUCUUCUUUGAUUAUCAGAAAAACAAAAACAUAAAGCAAACCUGGGCAGGGCAUGGAUGAUUGUCCUGUGUCCUCAGCGAACAAAGUCACGACUCCAGCUUGGCUUUGACCGCUUCCUUCCGGUUUCCCCAGCCACCUGCACUACUGGACUUGGGAAGGAAGUAACUACAGAAAACGGUUUCCAACACUUGUCAUUGCAUCGGACGAUGUCACUCAGUGAAGAAACUACCAGGCUGAGAGACAAGGACUAAGUAUGCUGGCCGAGAAGCUGCUGGGCUCUACCAGCACUUUGACCCUUGGACAUGGAGAUUGACCAGCACUGGGAACUCUCAAGAGGUUAAAUGAAGUGAAGUGAGCCAAGCAGAGCUGCCGUCUUCCAUGCCAUGUUGGAAAUAAAACAUGCCCUAGCUGAAUCCUGCACUGUCCAGGGG